AGCAGCCGCGGUAAUUCCAGCUCCAAUAGCGUAUAUUAAAGUUGUUGCAGUUAAAAAGCUCGUAGUUGAAUUUCGGGAUCAAUUAAUUGGUCGUGCCUCUGGUACGCACUGGUUUUAUUGGUUUCUCCCUUCUGACGAACCACGAUGUCAUUAAUUUGGUGUCGUGGAGAAUCAGGACUGUUACUUUGAAAAAAUUAGAGUGUUUAAAGCAGGCUAACGCUUGAAUACAUUAGCAUGGAAUAAUGAAAUAGGACGUUUGAUCCUAUUUUGUUGGUUUCUAGGAUCGACGUAAUGAUUAAUAGGGAUAGUUGGGGGCAUUAGUAUUCAAUUGUCAGAGGUGAAAUUCCUGGAUUUAUUGAAGACUAACUACUGCGAAAGCAUUUGCCAAGGAUGUUUUCAUUAAUCAAGAACGAAAGUUAGGGGAUCGAAGACGAUCAGAUACCGUCGUAGUCUUAACCAUAAACUAUGCCGACUAGGGAUCGGAUGAUGUUAAUUUUUUAAUGACUCAUUCGGCGCCUUA
rnacentral:misc_RNA from 1 species